AUCUACUGGCUGAAGAGUCCCAAACUGGACGAAAUGCACAUCUUGGUGGAU
rnacentral:hammerhead_ribozyme from 1 species